rnacentral:lncRNA from 1 species
ACAUAGUGUAGUGAUUGCAAAAUCAAAUGUCCCACACCAAUUAAUGGCUAGCUGAAAAAUAGUUUUUUGCCUACCAAGACUCAACAAAUCAUAUAGUUAUGCAACUAUAAUCACAUAAUUAAAUUCCUUCUAGGCAUUUGGGUCUGAGAUUCCUUUACUUGUCAAAAGACAGUGAUAGGGAUUUUAUAAAUGCCUCAGGUUGACUGUGUGCAAUUCUAUUUUGCAAAGAAAAAGAAACACUGAUACAGUUACUCUGCUGAUAUGGGAAAAUUGGCAGCUUCAGAGAAAUAGCAUUAGCUGUCAUGUGAAGGAAGUAAACAUCUUUGUGACACAAUUGGAAAAGCAACCAUGGAACUGAUGACAUUUAACUACAAAUGCAUCUUCUCUUAAAAAUUUUGAUUUGCUCAUUGAAUGAUUACAAAUGGACUAGAGAGCAUCCAACAGGAUCAUUAUGUCAGACCUUAGUCCAUCCCAAAUUAUUCUUGGUGGAAGCCCUGAAGAGUCAAUGGUGGCGAGGUUUGGGAACCUCCGGGGUUAAGGGUCACCUGGAGGAUUGGAUACAUGGCAGAUUACUGCUUUUUGCAGUUACAGGUUCUCUCCUGGCUAGAGGAGGAAUGCGAGAUGGUCUGUGGAAUGACAGGGUAAACUCCUGGUCCGGGGUUCGUCUCCAGAAUCAAACCGUCUGGGAGCACUGCCCGGGAAUCUGCACUGAGACAAGAACCUUGGUGAUCCUUCUAAGCAAAGGUAUGAGAGCGCCAUGCUGCUGAGGAACAGAUGGAGGCCACCUCCGCAGGCGGCAAGGAGGAAGACAGUGGUCCCAUUUUCUUAGUAGUAUUGCUUCAAAGAGAAAUGGUAUUGUUUUCAUGCUUAACCCCAGCUCUCAUAAAUUAAAUUUGCCUGGCAUUGUUAAAGUAUUUAGGGACUCUAUGUUAACACAACACACUUUCUUAAAUAUUCGUGUGCAUCUGUCUUAGUUGGGCUCUCAGUAUUUAAGGGCAGCUCAUGUCUUACUUGUCUUUCUGGAGCCAUGCCUCACAGCAUCUGCCCCUUAUAUACAUCCCCUAAAGGACUGACAUUUGUGUGUUGGAAGGGACAUCUUCAUGAGAAAUGCCAGCUGAUCUUCAUGUUAGUUACCUUUGGUUUAAAAGCCUAUUUUUUUCCACCCAAGAUGAGAUGAAAACUUUGACUUCUUUAUUCUACAUCUUGAAAAAAAUCCAGGUGCUAGAGGCUGAUUGUAUAUCUUUUCUACAACCUGAAUUUCCACACGUACAGUAACACCCCCACAUCACUUUGCCUACAUCAAGUUUGGGUGUUUGAAUGCCAGCUGAUGAGUGCUGAUUUUAAACUCUCCUGCUUAAAAUUUAUUUAUUUAUUUUUCCCUGAGAGUGCUCACUUUCUGGUUCCCAGUAGUUGGAUUUCUCUUUCUAUUCUGGUGGGCCUAAAAGCCUCAGAAAUGCUUUUGUUUGUGCUGUUGUUUAGAGAAGGGGAAGAAAUGACUGGCUUUUAUCUACAAUCUAUGUCCGAUAAAGAUUGCUUUGCCAUAAAAGAAGCAAACAAUAAAAAACCACAAGUGCAAGAUGCUAAGUCUUAAAGUAUUCCCACUGAACCAAACCAAACCAAAACAAGUUGGUGUAGAGAGUUGACAG